UAUGGCCGGAGCGGGAGUGCGGGCUGCCAAUCUGCAAAAGUUUCUGCAGGCAGGCCUCAAAGAGGUGCAUAGCUCAGCGGGGCAGUGGUUGCCAUCGCCGAUGCGCUUUCGUAAUCCGGGGUUAUCGAUGUCCACCGACGCAGAUGCCGAUGAAUAUUGCCGCUAUGCCGUUAACGGCGAGGCGGUGGCGGAAAUGAAACAAAUUAUUUCUGCCGCGCGGGAUUAGCCCGCGAAGCUAACCGUUUUUUGCUGCACAUCAUGUCGCCCAAUAUGAUGAUUGCCCGUACCAGGCCCCUGCAAUUUCAACAGGGGCCUUUUUUU
rfam:Enterobacter aerogenes KCTC 2190, complete genome.